ensembl:miRNA xtr-mir-16c xtr-mir-16c
UUUAGCAGCACGUAAAUACUGGAGUUCAUGACCAUAUCUGCACUCUCCAGUAUUACUUUGCUGCUAUAUU